GGUGCUGGGUAUGUGGCUCAGUUGGUAGAGUGUUUGCCUAGCAUGCGAAAGGUCCAGGGUUCAAUCCCCAGUACCACCA